rnacentral:rRNA from 1 species
UACAGAGGGUGCGAGCGUUAAUCGGAAUUACUGGGCGUAAAGCGUGCGCAGACGGUCACGUAAGUCGGGUGUGAAAGCCCCGGGCUCAACCUGGGAAUUGCAUUCGAGACUGCGUGGCUAGGGUGCGGAAGAGGGAAGCGGAAUUUCCGGUGUAGCGGUGAAAUGCGUAGAUAUCGGAAGGAACACCAGUGGCGAAAGCGGCUUCCUGGUCCAGCACCGACGUUCAGGCACGAAGCGUGGGGAGCAAACAGG